rnacentral:lncRNA from 1 species
AGAAUGAGUCUGCUGAAAUCCAGCCUAUGAAAAAAGACAGAUGAAUCCAUUUUAGGAAGUAUCCCAGGAAUGGAAAUGAAAUACAUUUCCUGAACUCCGAGGACCAGAAGCUGCCCUUGUCUGCCACCUUUGAUGACCUCGCCGAGGACGGACAGACGGAGAGGGAUGACGCUGACCCAAUGGCCUCGAAACAAUCACACGGCUCCCUGGACAUGAUCCGGAGCCUGUGU